AUGGCAAAGCAGCUCAGGGACCUGAAGGCUGACCCACGGCUGCAGGUAGCAGGGGUCCGGUGGGUGGAAGUCUCCGUCCACGGCCCAUCCGUCUACUCCUUGAGCUCCUGUUGCACAAGUGCUACCAAUGCCACCUCUGUGACGCUGGGCUGCCUGGUCACGGGCUACUUCCCGGGGCCGGUGACCAUUACCUGGGACACAGCGUCCCUGAACAGGAGCACCCUGGCCAUCCCCGCCGUCCAGAACUUGAACUCCAGCCUCUACACCACCAGCAGCCAGGUGAUAGUCUCGGGCGAGUGGUCCAAGCAGAAUUUCACCUGCAGCGUGGCUCACGCUGCGUCCAACACCACCACCACCAAGGCCGUCGCUGGGUGCACCAAGAGCUUCCCCGACCCCUCCGUGAAGCUCUUUUACUCCUCCUGCGACCCCCGUGGUGACACCCACACCACCAUCCAGCUCCUGUGCCGCAUCUCUGGCUACACCCCAGGCAGAAUCAAGGUCACCUGGUUGGUGGACGGGCAUGAGGCCCCAGACGUGUUCCCGCACACCGGCCCCGAAAGGGUGGAGGGCAAACUGGCCUCCACCUACAGCGAGCUCAACAUCACGCAGGGCCAGUGGGUGUCCCAAAUCACCUACACCUGCCGGGUCACCUAUUACGGCCUCACCUACGACAACCACGCCCGCAGGUGCACAGCCGAGUCCGAGCCCCGCGGCGUGAGCGCCUACCUGAGCCCACCCACGCCCCUCGACCUGUACGUCAGCAAGUCACCCAAGCUCACCUGCCUGGUGGUGGACCUGGCCAGCGCAGAGGACAUGACACUGACCUGGUCCAGGGAGAACGAGAAUCUAGCGUACUCAGACCCGCUCGUCAUCGAGACUCAGUUCAACGGGACAGUCACCGUCGCGUCCACCGUGCCGGUGGACGUCAGUGACUGGACUGAGGGCAAGACCUACUCCUGCAAAGUGAACCACCCGCACCUACCCAAGGAGAUCCUGCGCUCCAUCUCCAAGAGUCCUGGCCAGCGUAUGAUUCCCGAGGUUUACGUGUUCCCGCCACCCAGGGAGGAGCUCCAGACCAAGGGCGAGGUCACCCUCACCUGCCUGAUCCAGAACUUCUUCCCCGCGGACAUCUCCGUGCGGUGGCUGCGGAACGGCGCCCUGGUGCAGGCGGACCAGCACAGCAGCACGAGGCCCCACAAGGUCCGCGGCUCCAUCUCCGCCUACUUCAUCUACAGCCGCCUGGUGGUCACGCAGGCCGACUGGCGGCAGAAGAGCAAGUUCACCUGCCAAGUGGUCCACGAGGCCCUGUCCGGCUCAAGGACCCUCGAGAGAUCGACGUCCAUUGACCUUGAGCUGGCCCUGGAGGACCCGUGCGCAGAGGAGGCCGAGAGCGACGGGCCGGAGGGGACGUGGACCGGCCUCCUCACCUUCGCGGUGCUCUUCCUGCUCAGCGUGAGCUACGGCGGGGCCGUCACCCUCUGCAAGGUGAAGUGGGUCCUGGCUGCCGUCCUGCAGGAGCGGCCGCGGGCUUCCCGCGACUACACGAACGUGGCGCGGCCCCGCCUUCUCCCUCCUCGUGGGAGCAUCCCCGAGGCUGCCAGCUCCACCCUGGGCCAGAGGAAGGAGCACACCAGCCCCCAAGGGGCCCGAGUCAGGGGCCCAGCGACCAGCACAUGGGCGCCGAGGGGCCCCAGCUCAGCCCCAAGGUCGAAGGCAACGGGGGGCCCACCUUUCACAGCCCCACACCGCCCCACUUUGCGGCAAGUCCCAGAAGAGCAUCUGCUGCCUCCACAGAGAGACCUGGGCUGGCCGUGGGUGCCGGCCGCCCCGGGCUUCUCCCAGGCCCCUGGGCUUGGGCCCACACCGGUGCUGACUGCACUGCCCCUGAAACACAGUGGCGGCCCGCAGCCCGUGGCCCAGCCCACGCUGCAGCCCAGAGCCGCGUCUAGGACUCCGAGUCGCAGCCAGCCCGAUCCAGCGUCUGCGUCCAGCCCAACCAAGCCAAGGGCUCGCUCCCCAGGCUCCGCCCCGCCCUCCGCGCCCCCAGGCCCAAGUAAAAGCAACAGUCCCACUCCCCCUGGGCAAACCCUGAGGGGCUCAUUCAGUGGUCAGUGCAGGAGGCCGCAGGAACACAGCUGCACAAGCACCAGGGUGGAGGCCGGCAUCAGCCUCCUGGGGCCCCAGUCACCACCCAGCCGUCCACCCACUGAGCUCACGCAGACAGGCCAGUCCUCAGGCCCCAUCCCGCCAGCCAGCCCGGACGUCCUGAUGAGCAAGCGAGAGCUGUCUGGGGCUGGCCGCCACCGUCCUCGAGAAGAAAGCUGGGAGCCACACAGGCACUGCCCCAACACUCACCCCGAGUCUCACGCCUCCAGCUCCCUCGGGGCGGCUCCAGGGGACCCUGGGGCUUCAGACCCCCGGAAGGUGCAGGGCCCCAGGACCUCACGGGCCGGCAAGAGGAAGGGUGCUCAGGGCCAGUCAACCACGAUGCAGGCGCCGCCUGCUCGUGAGAGCGGCGGGCGUGGGGUGGACCAGAGUCCGGCAGCCCGGGAGGAAGUGCCCCUCGUGGGCCGUGCUCUGGGUGUGCCAGGGUCCGUGAUCAAACCCCAGAAGUCCCUCGACCAAGCCAGCUCUCCCCGCAAUGGUGUCCAUCCCGGGAGCGGACCAUAG